rnacentral:rRNA from 1 species
ACAAGCGGUGGAUGAUGUGGUUUAAUUCGAUGCAACGCGAAGAACCUUUACCUUGGUCUUGACAUCCACGGAAGUUUUCAGAGAUGAGAAUGUGCCUUCGGGAACCGUGAGACAGGUGCUGCAUGGCUGUCGUCAGCUCGUGUUGUGAAAUGUUGGGUUAAGUCCCGCAACGAGCGCAACCCUUAUCCUUUGUUGCCAGCGGUCCGGCCGGGAACUCAAAGGAGACUGCCAGUGAUAAACUGGAGGAAGGUGGGAUGACGUCAAGUCAUCAUGGCCCUUACGACCAGGGCUACACACGUGCUACAAUGGCGCAUACAAAGAGAAGCGACCUCGCGAGAGCAAGCGGACCUCAUAAAGUGCGUCGUAGUCCGGAUUGGAGUCUGCAACUCGACUCCAUGAAGUCGGAAUCGCUAGUAAUCGUGGAUCAGAAUGCCACGGUGAAUACGUUCCCGGGCCUU